UCCUGGUUAGCUCAGUUGGUAGAGCGCUCCACCUGUAAUGGAGAGGUCCCGGGUUCGAUACCCGGACCAGGCG
rfam:Ixodes scapularis strain Wikel colony gcontig_1107728638522, whole genome shotgun sequence.